CCAAGAGAAGAAGAAACAUCACUCACCUCUGAGUACUAGCUUAAGGACGUCCGGCGAACCGCUACCACAGCUGCUGCUCGAACAUCGUGACUUCCCGUUUUACCUGAAUUCCAUCGCGCUACGCUGUGCUUCCAUCCGGAGCACCACAGCAACAUCAGAAAAGGAAAAGAGACAUAUUCAGGUUUGCUUUCAAUAUUAAACAACCGCACAGCACUGUACUUACCUUAAUGGAUUCCGGGGGCCUGUUUUUCAUUGCGCUCUCUUCCACUCGCAGCACCACAGCGGCCUGUGAGGAGAAGAAGAAGAAAACACAGGUUAGCUUUAAAAGACAAUAAAGGCGUUUCGCUUCGCGCUUUCUCUUACUUAGAAAUGUGCCUCUCCAUCCGGCACGCCAGCAUCAAGACCUUCGCACCCGAAAAGAAGGAGAUAAAGACAUUAACGAAUUCCUAUCAUAAACAGAACAAAGAUUUUUAGUUAACAAACCUACCUGCCUUCCAGCAGGUUCGGGGUCACAACAGGCCUAGGCCCAAGGAAGGCGUACUGCACCAGUGAAGCAACUCAUGCAGCUCGCCAACAAACGUCAAGCGCCCCUGCAAAAGAAACGCAGGACGGAUAGCUCACCCUACAAAAAACGAAGGUGAGAGAAGAACCCAGUGGGAAAGGAAUCGGUCAGAGGGAGGCGGGAGAUUCACCCAUUAUAGACAGUUAUCACAAAUCCUCCCUUCUGUAAUUGCAGAGUCAUUAUUCAGCACUGGGCAACUACGCAUCCAGGUUCCAGAUUUCAGAGCCUUCCAGACGCCCCGGGGAUAUCAGGUGAGCCUAACAGGUAUAGUGGUGAAAGACUGAUCAAACCAUCUAGUAGCUGGUUCCCUCCAAAGUUUCCUUCAGGAUAGCUGGAGCAAAACCCCAGUUUUAUCUGGUAAAGCGAAUGAUCAGAGCUCUUGGGGUCGAAACUAUUCUCAAACUUUGCGGGAUGAAAUGAAUGCCAGGUUUAGGCUCCCGAUGAUGACGCUCAUCAGACCUCAGAAAAAUUGGUGGUUGUUACAGACAGCAGGACGGUGGCCAUCGAAGUCGGAAUCCACUAAGGAAUGUGUAACAACUCACCUGCCAAAUCAACUAACCCUGAAAAUGGAUGGCACUGGCGCCGCAGCCCAUAACCGGCCGCUGCCGUCGCUGAGAGCCGUGGGGGGCUAGGCUGUAAUGAGUAGGAGGGUCACUGUGGUGUGCACCGAAGCCUGAGGUGAGGGUCCAGGUGGUGCCGCCGCAGGUGCAGAGUUUGGUGGUAGUAGCAAAUAUUUAAAUAAGAACUUUGAUGGUUGAAUUGGAGAAGUGCACCAUGGGAACAGCAGUAGAACAUGUGCAAGUCAGUCCUAAGAGAGGGGCGAGUGCCAUUUGGAAGGGACGGCCAAGGCUUCUGUUGCCCUCAGCCGAUCAAAAGCGAGUCGGUUCAUAUCCUCUAAUCCCAGAGUGGUGGAGAUGGGUACCCUCAUGGUGUCCAGUGUAAUGCAAAAGUUCGCGUAGAAGUCGGCGGGAGCUCUGAGGAGAGUUCUCUUUUCUUUGUGAAGGGCAGGGAUCCCUGAAUGGGUUUGCCCCAAGAGCGAGGCUUGAGCCUUGGAGAGCAUCGUUGUGACGGUGGCAUCCAGUGAGCUCUCUCUGGUCCUUGAAAAUCCAGGGGCGAUAGUGUAAAUCUCGCACUGAGCCACACCCAUAUCGGCAGUAAGUCUCCAAGAUGAAAAGCCUCUAGGAUGUAGGAACAAUGUAGGAAAGAUAAAUGGCAAGUCAGAUCUAUAACUUUGGGUUAAGGAUUGGACCUAUGGGCUGGGUCGAUUACGCUGGGUGUGAAGUGGGGCUAGGCAUGUGCCAUGGCAUCCCCUUCCCAGGUCCUUCCUAUGGAUUUCCCCCUUGGAUGGUUGCCUCUCUCCAUUCCCCACAUGGGUUUCAGAGCCGGCAUUCUUCCUUGGCCGACGCCUAGCAGCUGACAUAGAAAUGGUGCAGAACAGUGGAAUCUGACUUUUUAAUUAAAUCAAAGCAUCCCAAAGGCUUGCAGCGGGUGUUGACACAAUGUGAUUUCUGUCCAGUGCUCUGAAUAUGAAAUGAAGAAGUUCAAUCAAGUGUGGGUAAACGGCGAGAGACCCUAUGACUCUCUUGAGGUAGCCAAACACCUCGUCAUCUAAUUAGUGACGUGCGUGAAUUGAUGAAUGAGCUAACCACUGUCCCUACUUACUUACUAUCUAGCGAAACCACAGCCAAAGGAAAAGGCUUGGUAGGAUCAAUGGGGAAAUAAGACCCUAUUGAGCUUGACUCUAGUCUGGUACUGUGAAAAGACAGUAGAUAUGUAGAAUAAGUCGGAGGCCCUUGGGCUGCCAGUGAAAUACCACUACUCAUAAUUUUUUCACUUACCCGGUGAGGCGGAGGGGGCGAGACCCAUGGGGCUCUUGCUUCUGGCUCCAAGUGCCCGGUGGGUGUGACCCUUUCCGGGGACAGUGGCCGGUGGCAGAAAAGUUACCACAGGGAUAACUGGCUUGUGGCAGCCAAGAGUCUAUAGCAAUGCCACUUUAUGAUCCUUCCAUGUCAGAUGUUCCUAUCAUUUUGAAGCAGAAUUCACCAGGCGUUGUAUUGUCCAUACACUAAUAGGGAACGUGAGCAUGGUUUAGACUAUUGUGAAACAGGUUAGUUUUACCCUACUGAUGUGUUGUUGAAAUGGUAAUCCUGCUCAGUCCAAGAGGAACCACAGGUUCAGACAUUUGAUAUGUGCUUGGCUGAGGAGCCAAUGGGGCAAAGCUACCACAUGUGGGAUUAUGACUGAAUGCCUCGAAGUCCGAAUUCCCCUAAAUGGCAACAAUAUUGCAUGGCUGUGGAGCCUUGGUUCGCCGAGGAAACCAUCCUCUAGGCUGGUGCGUAUUGCGGCUCACCUUGGGACUCAGUGGGGACAGAAGGAGACUACCUCUCUCGUCCGUUAUGAAUGCUUGUUC
rnacentral:rRNA from 1 species